rnacentral:rRNA from 1 species
UACGUAGGGGGCAAGCGUUGUCCGGAUUUAUUGGGCGUAAAGAGCGUGUAGGCGGCUAGGUAGGUCUGUUGUGAAAACUCGAGGCUCAACCUCGAGACGCCGAUGGAAACCAUCUGGCUAGAGUCCGGAAGAGGAGAGUGGAAUUCCUGGUGUAGCGGUGAAAUGCGCAGAUAUCAGGAAGAACACCCGUGGCUAAGGCGGCUCUCUAGUACGGUACUGACGCUGAGACGCGAAAGCGUGGGGAGCGAACAGG